UAAUUUUAAUGGGUAGAAACAGCUCUUUAAGGUAACAAUUGCAGUUUACCACAUUUUACAGUAGAGUCUCCUUUAAUCUAAAAAAAGCGAGCAGCUUGGUCAUUCAGCUAAUCUUCUCAUAGGGUUUUGGAACAAAAUGAUGACUCUUUAGGUUGAACUAUCCCUUUAAAAACAAGCACACAAAUGUACCCACCAGAAGGAGGUAGAGAGAGACCCCUCCCCCUCCCCCUGUCACCUCCCUCUUCUUUAACAAUGUCUGUAAACAAAGCAGAACCUAUGAAUGGAGGUGGAGAGUGAGUGAGGGAAUCGAAAAAGAGGGAAACGUAGCCACGCAUCUCUCAGGAGAAACACAGUCAGAGAUGAGAGAACUGAGAAGAGAAAGACAUGGACAAGAAGAGGAAGAGAGCUAAAUCGGAAAGAAAAAAAAAAGAACUCACAUCAUCUCUGUCAAAGCCUCUUUCGUUGGAUGUCGAUGUUGGUCCCUGCUGCCCUCCCCCUCCGUCUCCCUCUGCCUCCUUCGCUCUCUACGGCAUUGCUGGAUCCACAAUCUACUGCCUUAUUCUCUUUCUACAACUCUCACACUCUUUCUGUCCUCCAGCAUGGUAGACUACACCACACCGGUGUUCAUUCAGAGUAUGUGUGUGUUGAAGAGAGUGAGAGAGAGAGGAGAGGAGAAAGAGCAAGAGCGAGUAAAAGAGAGGGAGAAUCAGCAGGAAGAGAGGGGGUAAGGAAGUGUGGAUAGUGGCAGAAGGCAUAUUUGUGCCUGUACAGUACAGUAUGUAUUUGUACACGUGUUCCCAUAUCUGUAUCGAUGCCAGAAAACCUGCUGGCACGUUUUCAGUGAAAGACUGCGCAGCCGUGUUUGUGAGGACUCUUUCGGUGAACUUUUACCUGAAUAAACUGUACGUCCUUGACCCUAUUACACAGAUCACUGGCCUAUAAAGAGAUCACGUGUGCUGGGAAGGGAAAAAGAGACUGCUGCAGGGUGCUCAGGGACAGGGACGCUGGAAUUGUGACACAGUUGAGCUCGCACAGACCAAAGGAAGACAAGGAGCAGAGAAGGAUGAUGGAGACAGAGGAAGUUGCUAUUAAAAUGACUCUGCGAGGGAAGGACAAUGACGGAGGUGGUGAAGCGAUGGCAGAAAGGACACAGUGAUAUGUGGGGUUCUGGAAACGUGGAGCUGAGAUGAGAACAGAAGAGCUGAGAGGCUGGAGAAACAAUAGAGACAGCUUGAUGAACAGAAAGAAAGAAUGUUUUUAUAGCAUUUUAAUCUAGUGCCCUUCAUAGUCUGACCUCCAGAUGGAGUCACCACAGGGGUGGGAGGGUGAUGGAGAGAAUAUGAAAGAGUGCAGGGGGCUGCUGGGAUGAGAUGAGUGUGAGCUCUCUCUGUGACUGGGACAGAAUGACAUCACAUGAGGCAGUUUUAUGUUUACUGUGAGGUGCUAAUGAAAAGAGCACAGCAGUGUUAAUUUACCAGCACGCGACAGACUGAGAGAGAGUGAGUCAGAUUACAACAUUGCCACCAAAAACAGAUAUUACAGUCUUGCGCAAAGUGCUUCAUUUUAUGGGGCUGUCACUUAAAUUCAAAGGGGCUGGGACAAUAUUUUAAGCCCUACCCUUCUCCCUAAGGCCCAGUGAGUAGACUACACCAUAGAGGACCUCAGUAGCUCCCCACGUUUCCCCAAGCCCCUGAAAAUGGUCCUGGGUAGACAACACAUUUUAUGUGAACCAUCCUACAAAAGUAGAUUACAUGGAUGC